ACUCCUACGGGAGGCAGCAGUAGGGAAUUUUCCGCAAUGGACGAAAGUCUGACGGAGCAAUGCCGCGUGAGUGAUGAAGGUUUUCGAAUCGUAAAGCUCUGUUGUAAGGGAAGAAUAGCAAGAAUAGGAAAUGAUUCUUGUCUGACGGUACCUUACCAGAAAGCCACGGCUAACUACGUGCCAGCAGCCGCGGUAAUACGGAGGGUGCGAGCGUUAAUCGGAAUUACUGGGCGUAAAGCGCAUGCAGGUGGUUUGUUAAGUCAGAUGUGAAAGCCCGGGGCUCAACCUCGGAAUUGCAUUUGAAACUGGCAGGCUAGAGGUCUUGUAGAGGGGGGUAGAAUUUCAGGUGUAGCGGUGAAAUGCGUAGAGAUCCUGAAGGAAUACCAGUGGCGAAGGCGGCCCCCUGGACAAAGACUGAGCGCUCAGAUGCGAAAGCGUGGGGAGCAAACAGGAUUAGAU
rnacentral:rRNA from 1 species